rnacentral:rRNA from 1 species
GACAGAGGGUGCAAACGUUUGUUCGGAAUUACUGGGCGUAAAGCGUGUGUAGGCUGCUACAUAAGUCGGAUGUGAAAGCCCCGGGCUCAACCCGGGAAGUGCACUCGAUACUGCGUAGCUUGAGUCUCGGAGAGGUUGGUGGAAUUCUCGGUGUAGAGGUGAAAUUCGUAGAUAUCGAGAGGAACACCGGUGGCGAAGGCGGCCAACUGGACGAAGACUGACGCUGAGACACGAAAGCGUGGGGAGCAAACAGG